AAAAGGAACUAGGAGCUCCAUAUAAGAGGAUCUAAUAGGUAUCAGAUUUGUCUCCAAUGGAUUAAAAGCAGGAGUUAGACACUAAUCUCUCCUGGUUCCUUUUGCAUAUUCUCCCAGAAGGCAGUCUGUAUGACCUCAGGGUAGUCAUCGCAGAUUAGCACUGCGUACUCAUUGGAUUCAGAGAAGUGAAGGGUUCAGUAAACCUACAGAAUGAAUUAAGCAGAAUGUUACAACUCCUUGCAGAAUCCACUUUCAUGACAGCAUAACAAAUCAAGGUUAUCAAUGUAGGACCAAGCAUGGCUCCAAAUACAAACUUAGAGAUAACGAUACCUAAUGCUUUUCCACCCAAUGACUUCAAAUUAUUCAACACAUUGGAUAUCAAGGCAACAGCUGGACAGUGCUUCUAUAAUAAAUAUCCAAGAAACUGUAGUGCAGCAGAAAAAAAUGAAAACAUAUUAAAGGAUGUUGUCACUUUCUUUUCAAAACCUGCUAAGAGACAAAUGGUAAGGUCUGUCUUUUGGCAUCAGUGAGAAAUAAAUGACUCUCUGAAGGAGCCUUAAGACAGUGGUGUAUCUUACAUAAUGAGGUCACCA